GUCUAACUGGCUCAGUUGGUAGAGCACGUGGCUCUUGAUCUUGGCGUGGUGAGUUCGAGCCCCACGUUGGGUG
rnacentral:tRNA from 1 species